CGCACGUCCCGCGGCGUCGCCGCGGCUCCCCCCGCAUCCCGCCGCCCGCCUCCCUCCCCCGGGCGCAGGGACGGCCUUCGGCCCGCCUCGCCGCUCGCCCCGCUAGUUUUGCUUUCCUUUCGCCGGGAGCAAGUUUCAACAGUGAAAGAGAAGAAAUGGAUCAAUUCAAGGACCUCCCCACAGCUUUAUCACCCAGCACUGGAACCCCAGGUUUCUGCAGCAAUGCUGGAGAGCCAUGACCACUGUCUUCUGAAUCCCCAGCAUGGCCAAGAUAUUUUCAUAUCAGACCAAAGGAGGAAGAAGAGAAGGAAGAUCUUCAGUUCUGUGAUUUCUUUGAAAAAUGGCACUUGCCUGGAACGGGCUGGUUGCAGUGUUGGGAGAUAUUGUGGAAACCAAGAUUUCUGUUCCAGGUGGGAAGAAGCCAAGUAGGUCCUGGAGUCCAGAAAGCGCCUGUUAGUUAUCUUCAGCAUCUGUCAGAUCAACCAUUCAGCUAGCAUGUGCCUAAGAUACUUUCAUGUGUGUACGCAGUAUAAUUCACACAAGUAGCACAUGGAUGAAACUAAACUUUGGGAGAGGGCAUCAACAUGAGACAGCUGGAAACAGGAAUGCUGUAGCAAGAACUGUAGAUGGCCAAAACCCAAACAAGCAAAGAGAAGUGCUGUGUUGCUUUAAAAAAAUCUUUCAUCAUGAAACACUUUGUCUCUGUUAAGUGGUUGAGAACCAAAAUGGAGCUAAGCAUGGUCCAUCUUACAUGAACAUCAGCCAAAUGCUAAGGGCAGUGCAGAAGUGUGCACUCUACGGAUACUCAACUUUCUCCCAUCUAGAGUGAGAGAAUGUAUAUACUACGUAGCUUCAAGACAGAAAUACAACUUUGUUGAAGGCAAGGAAGUUAUUCACUUGUGCUAGGUCAUGAUUUGAACCAAGUUGUUAUUACAAUGGUAUGUUUUGAAGGAAAGCAUGUUUUUAAAAGAUUGAGUUUUCAAGAAAGAAAGGAAUUCACUUUAGUGACAAAGGAACUUGUCCAGCUCUUUUAAAGUUCAAUUAAAAAAUCCUAGGCUGGUUGCUAGCACUUGUGCUUAUUUGUUUUAUAAAGUAGAUCCAGCUGACUUUCCAGAUCUUCAAAGGCUUCAUAUUCCCUCUAACGGAGCAAGAUAUCUGUUUUUGCCCAGUAUGACACCUGAUUUAACAAAAUCUCCCUGACACAUGUACAUCCA
rnacentral:lncRNA from 1 species